GUGGGAAGUCAAGGACAACCUGUAUAGUGGGAGAAUUGAAGCACUUGAAUACAGGAUUAAAGCACAGAACCCAGGUCCAUCUAGAGCAUUGGUGAAACUCAAUCGCGUGACAUGUUGUAUCGUGACAUACCACGACAUUUUUUGCCUUUGUGGAGCCGGGUUAUAGAUUCUGGUCCCAAUGAAGGACAUAAGCAUCCAAGCAACCCAGAUUCGACCGGAAGUGUUGCAGCAAGACAGUCGGGAAUUAGCAGGCUCCGAUGAGCCUUGCGAAAUUCCAGGCUGACAAACCGCUGUCGGUGGGUCUUCAGACCAGAUCUGUCCUGUAGGGACGGAGAAGAAGGAGGGGCACCUCAGAAGCCCAAGAGGAACAGGAAACUUCCUUGGAGGUCGGAGGAAACUCUUCAACUUGGUGGGGGCAGCGGCCAUAGUGGCUGUCAUAAAGCUGGGGCAACUGGACUAAGUUUUGAGCAGGAGCGGUGAUUUGGACGGAGUACUGGUAACCGGGUGAGUGAUUGCCAGCUCACAGGUAAAUAGAAAUAUUUUUAAAUUGUUAAAAGGUGCCCCAGCGAAGAAACAGCAGCUAAUGGGCAUGGGGGACUUUUAAUGGAGAGAGAAAAACAAGGCAGAAGUUUAAAGUGUUAAAGCUCGAAACAGAACUUGAUUUUUGGAUUAGAAUUUGAGUGGAGAUAAUUAAACUGUUAGAAGAAGAAACCUGAAAUAGCUGUGAAGAGGACUGGAAAUAAAUAAUAAAUAAUAAAAUAAUAAAUAAUAAAAACUUUGACCAUUGAAGGAAGAACAAAGAAAAACUUAAAAAUAAAGCUCUGUAACAGAAGUCUUUUAAUUGGAUUUGGAAUUGGAUUUUAAAUUGGAUUUUGGGGAAUACAAAAUUAAGAAGAUGGAAAUUGGCAAAUAUUGGCAAUGUGGAUUUAAUAAAUAAAAUGGAUAUUUUCUUA